GUAGGGAAUAUUGGACAAUGGGGGCAACCCUGAUCCAGCGACGCCGCGUGAGUGACGAAGGCCUUCGGGUCGUAAAGCUCUGUUGCAAGGGAAAAACAAAAUGAUGGUACCUUGCUAGAAAGGAUCGGCUAACUUCGUGCCAGCAGCCGCGGUAAGACGAGGGAUCCUAGCGUUGUUCGGAAUUAUUGGGCGUAAAGCGGGUGUAGGUGGCUUUGUCAGUCAGGUGUGAAAGCCUGGGGCUUAACCCCAGAAGUGCAUUUGAUACUGCGAAGCUUGAGUGCUGGAGAGGCUACUAGAAUUCUUGGUGUAGUGGUGAAAUACGUAGAUAUCAAGAGGAAUACCGGAGGCGAAGGCGGGUAGCUGGCCAGACACUGACACUCAGACCCGAAAGCGUGGGGAUCAAACAGGAUUAGAAACCCUUGUAGUCC
rnacentral:rRNA from 1 species